rnacentral:lncRNA from 1 species
GAGAACAUAAUUUGCACACAAUGUGGUAAAACUGGUCACUAUAAAUCUGAAUGUAUUGGAAAAGAAAAGGCUAGUCAAAACAAUAAAGAAUUUGGUCAAUGGAAAAAUAGGUUGCCUGGUUGGGCUAAAAAGAAUCUGAUUCACACUUUUGCCUAUAGAAAGGGAACCAAACUAGUUUGAGUUCCUAAGACUAACACCUAAUUUCCUUUUGUGGGUCCAAGUGAAAGGGGGCAGCCAAGUAUGGUACAUGGAUAGUGGCUGCUCAAAGCACAUGACAGGAAGUAAGAACCGGUUCCUUUCAC